UCUUGUGAUUGGAGUUCUCUUGCCGGCGGACGAAAAAGAAAAAACAAUAAUAACCAGACAUAAUUAACGAGGGCGGGCCUUCGAGGAAAAGAAACCAACCGGGAUUGCCUUAGUAACGGCGAGUGAAGCGGCAAAAGCUCAAAUUUGAAAUCUGGUACCUUCGGUGCCCGAGUUGUAAUUUGGAGAGGGCAACUUUGGGGCCGUUCCUUGUCUAUGUUCCUUGGAACAGGACGUCAUAGAGGGUGAGAAUCCCGUGUGGCGAGGAGUGCGGUUCUUUGUAAAGUGCCUUCGAAGAGUCGAGUUGUUUGGGAAUGCAGCUCUAAGUGGGUGGUAAAUUCCAUCUAAAGCUAAAUAUUGGCGAGAGACCGAUAGCGAACAAGUACAGUGAUGGAAAGAUGAAAAGAACUUUGAAAAGAGAGUGAAAAAGUACGUGAAAUUGUUGAAAGGGAAGGGCAUUUGAUCAGACAUGGUGUUUUGUGCCCUCUGCUCCUUGUGGGUAGGGGAAUCUCGCAUUUCACUGGGCCAGCAUCAGUUUUGGUGGCAGGAUAAAUCCAUAGGAAUGUAGCUUGCCUCGGUAAGUAUUAUAGCCUGUGGGAAUACUGCCAGCUGGGACUGAGGACUGCGACGUAAGUCAAGGAUGCUGGCAUAAUGGUUAUAUGCCGCC
rnacentral:rRNA from 1 species